AUAGGUCAAAAUGACUCUUGGCAAUGGAUAUCUCGGCUCUCGCAUCGAUGAAGAACGUAGCGAAAUGCGAUACUUGGUGUGAAUUGCAGAAUCCCGUGAACC
rnacentral:rRNA from 2 species